GAGGGGCGGCCCUGAGGGGAGGGAGGCGGCUCCGCUCGGACCGCCCCGGAGUUGCCCCGUGGAGGCACCGGGCCUUGAGCUUUAAUACACUGGUGACAGACCUGCCUUGAGAACCAAAUGAAUCUUGGGCUGCUGGUAACAUAUUGGCUCUACGAUGUGAUUUGUACUGAAGGCCUUCAGGGAGAGGAGAUGACGUGAACAAAUACCAGUCAGCUGAGAUGCAGAGAAGACAUAAAUUCUUCUGUAUAACAGUUCUAUUUUUCAGGACCCCAAAAAAUCUGACACUGAACUGGCCAAGAAGAGAGACAAGUCUCUUGCUUUGAUGUGGGGAGUGGAAGCAGCACCACUGGAUGGCUGUGAUAUCGUCUUCAAGUUAUAAGACCUUUUUCUAAGCCAUUUCAACCAGUGUUAUAUGUUGAGUUUGCCUCAUCAUUCUCUGCCUUCUGCACUCACAUGGGUACUCACUUGUUCACCAAUAAUUAAGGGAAGGAGUCAAAAUAUAACUGCCCUGUUCAGAUGGGUGAACUUCUGAAAAGCCUAAAACCUGACCUCAUCUGUUGGUAGACUCAGCCCACACAGGUACAUUUUCCUAGAACAGUAUUUUUCCUGUGCAUUUCUACAGGCACAGUGAGUGGUGAGAUCAUGAGUGUGCAGUUUACUCAUGCAGAAAUAAAGUAAUGAAAUGGAGUCUCUUACCUGUUCUCUUCCUUGAGAGGUGCUACAGAAGGCUAUCAUUUUCCAAGCAAUUGUUGGUGAAAUCUUGUCUGCAUACUUUUGUGUGAAACAAAAGAAUCAUAUGAGACAAGAGUUAACAUAAGAGUUACAAACUAAUCAGAGGUUUGGCAGCUGCUUUAGAUCACAGAAAAAUUUCUCGUCCACUUACAUUUAAAUGAAUAAAAAAAACCAACUCAACUACUUAAGCAGUGCUAUCAUAUUCUUUGUCAGUGUGAGCCUCAUGCUUAUGCAAAGUGUAUGAAUGCCUUUAUGCAGAGCAGACAAGCAUGUUAGAAAGAAGACUGGUGACUCACAGUUCCUUCCAAUGAACUAUCCUGAAAAAGGAUGUUUAAACCUGUAAGCUCAGAACUGCUCUGCCUUCCUCACACAGACACAUUGCUAUGGCAUGGCUGACUGUAAGUACAAACAACUUCUCAGAGAAGUUCAUAACAAAACCCAUAUAUUUAUUCCUUUUAAGAGACUGAAGGAAUAACCCCCAAAGCUGACCAAGCUAUUUCCUUCUGUCCCCUUUGUUAUUUUCUAGUAUUUCUGGGCCUGAGUCAAAACCACAGCUGUCCACUCAAGUCUUCCCACUGACUUCUGUGGGGCUUGGAUGGGACUUGCUUGUUAUCAGGCUUUGGUACUGACCUUAGUCUGCCAUCUCAUCUCCCAGGCUUUCAGGAAGAGAAAAUAGCAGACCCCAGACGACAUGGGGAAAGAAUUCAGGCUAAAGCUGCCUGGGACAGGUUUCAGUGUGUUUUGAGAAAACUGGGAGUGAGGCAUGGCUUCAAAAUCCAAAUAAAGGAGUGAUGUCUUGGCAUGAUAUCCCAGCAUAUGUUUGAAGAGAACCAAACACCAUAAAACUGGAGGCUUUGGGCUGUGUCUCUGAUGUAAUAAUUAAAAAUUAAAAAUAAAAAAUAGAACUGGAAUUGAA